UGGGGAAUAUUGCACAAUGGGCGCAAGCCUGAUGCAGCCAUGCCGCGUGUGUGAAGAAGGCCUUCGGGUUGUAAAGCACUUUCAGCGAGGAGGAAGGGUAGUGUGUUAAUAGCACAUUGCAUUGACGUUACUCGCAGAAGAAGCACCGGCUAACUCCGUGCCAGCAGCCGCGGUAAUACGGAGGGUGCAAGCGUUAAUCGGAAUUACUGGGCGUAAAGCGCACGCAGGCGGUUUGUUAAGUCAGAUGUGAAAUCCCCGCGCUUAACGUGGGAACUGCAUUUGAAACUGGCAAGCUAAAGUCUUGUAGAGGGGGGUAGAAUUCCAGGUGUAGCGGUGAAAUGCGUAGAGAUCUGGAGGAAUACCGGUGGCGAAGGCGGCCCCCUGGACAAAGACUGACGCUCAGGUGCGAAAGCGUGGGGAGCAAACA
rnacentral:rRNA from 1 species